rnacentral:rRNA from 1 species
GUGGGGAAUAUUGGACAAUGGGCGAAAGCCUGAUCCAGCCAUGCCGCGUGUGUGAAGAAGGUCUUCGGAUUGUAAAGCACUUUAAGUUGGGAGGAAGGGCAGUAAGUUAAUACCUUGCUGUUUUGACGUUACCGACAGAAUAAGCACCGGCUAACUUCGUGCCAGCAGCCGCGGUAAUACGAAGGGUGCAAGCGUUAAUCGGAAUUACUGGGCGUAAAGCGCGCGUAGGUGGGUUUGUAAGUUGGAGGUGAAAUCCCCGGGCUCAACCUGGGAACUGCCUCCAAAACUGCAUGACUAGAGUACGGUAGAGGGUAGUGGAAUUUCCUGUGUAGCGGUGAAAUGCGUAGAUAUAGGAAGGAACACCAGUGGCGAAGGCGACUACCUGGACUGAUACUGACACUGAGGUGCGAAAGCGUGGGGAGCAAACAGGAUUAGAAACCCGUGUAGUCC